UGCCACCUGCCUUGAAAAUAAGUAUUUGACCAUUGUCAGCCUGUAACUUGAGCAAGAAAUGGUUUGGGAAGGAAAGUUUAGGGUAUGUUUUUAAAUUCUGGGUUUUUUUUCAAAUGCACCACUCUCUUUCCCACAGGGUCCUCCAGGAAUCCAGGGGCCUAAAGGUUUGGAUGGUGCAAAGGGAGAGAAAGGUGACAGUGGUGAGAAGGGGGACCAAGGUGACACCGGACCUGCUGGUCUCCCAGGUGCUCCAGGGCUCAUUGGUUUACCUGGUACCAAAGGAGAAAAGGGAAAGCCAGGGGAGCCAGGAUUGGAUGGUUUCCCUGGUCUCAGAGGAGAGAAAGGAGAGAGAAGUGAAAGAGGCGAGAAGGUGAGUGGGUUAUGGCUGUAUUGAUGCUUGUGGGGCAGGACAGGCUGCUCUUUUUGGCAGGCAGCACUGCUUGUCCUGGGAGCCACUGCUGAAAGGCUUCUGUGCAGCCCAAGGAUUUGCAAAUUCCCAGCACAGGGCAGGACAGGCAGUUAAUUCCUACCCACUCGGAAGGGUUUUUGCAAGCCUGUCCCCACCCCAGCCCAGCCUGACCAUUGUGGGAAAAUGGAGCAGCCUGACAGCUCCAGGUUGCACAGAAUCACUGGUCUUGGUUUAUAGACCUUGAAAAUGGAUCCAAGUCAAAGGUUUUGCUACAGGGACCUUUAAACAAAGAGGUACCCAGGUGGAUCCAGGAGCCCAGCUGAGCACAGGGCAGUAGCUGGAAGCUGCUGCUCCCACUGAUGUCAGAUACCAACCUGGGUUCCAGCAGAAAUUGCUCAUUUAGUCAAUCUGCUAUAAAAUUAUCUAUUACAAUAUUUCCACCCAGCUUUACUGAAGAUUUUCACAGUGAUUCCACUACUCAGCUGAGGUCACACUAGUGCAAGGACGCUACUGCAAGUGUCCUUACUCUGGGUGAGGACUGGGACUCUGCAAGUGCUGUGAGAUAUGAAGCAAAGGUGUUCCUUCCCCUUGCCCCUGAUAUCUUCCUGUUGUGCUGACAGGGUGAACGAGGAAUACCGGGGAGAAAAGGGGCCAAAGGACAGAAGGGGGAACCAGGCCCCCCUGGACUGGAUCAGCCUUGUCCCGUGGUACGUCUUUCAUUUCACUCAUCCUAAGCACGGGCUGAGGGGCUGAAAAGGAGACACAGCUUUGCAGCCAGGGAAAAGCAGGGAGGAUUUGGGAGUUCUCUCUUUUGCAGUAAAUCAGAGCAGAUGAUUAUUGUUUUCUCACUUUUCUUAAUGGUUUAUCUGCACUGCUGGAAGUUCACUGCUCGCUGUAAGGGCUCCUCAGUGGCCAGAUGGGAACAAGCCACAGCAGUAAAAAUAAAGCUUCUUUGUGUAAAGACCUUCUUAUUGUAGAAGAAACAAUGGACCUCAGUAGAGCUCUUCAGGAGAUAGUGUGAAGCUGCUGGCCUGGCUUCUGAGCAGGGAAAUGUGUGAAAUCAGGGAGUAACUGGGUGCAGGGGAUGGGAGGUGAUCUGAAAACAAGGCCAGCUCCAUCCUUCCCUUCAUCCCUGCAAACCGAGUGAGGAAUGAGCCAGGGAAGCUUGUUGGGGUUGAUAGCAUCACGGUUCUGCCAAGCAUAAGUGAUGUAUGUGCUGCCAAGGAGUGCCUCUGGGAGAAGAGACCUCCCCUGGUUUCUCUGCCUGUGGCCCAGAGCUGUCCCUUCCCACACCCCGGGCCACUGCUGUGCAGCACACAGCCCAGUGGGCUCUCCAGGAAACCUCCUGGGUUUGAGCCUGGGGAAGCUGGAUCUCCCAAAUCCACUUCCAGAACCUCUCAUUCAUUAGAUAGAGCCCACAAGAAAAAGUCUUGAGUGGUUUAUAAGAAGCUAUUUGACCUGGUAAAAUUUACCUCCUUCUCACUACUGUUUCUCAUAUGAUGACUAAAACUAGAGAGAUCGUUUUCCCUGAAGUGUUUGGAAGCUGCAGGAUGAGAAAUAUCAAAUAUGGAACUAAAACUGCAUAAAUGUGGCUGUUUAGAACUUAGUCCAGAGGCACCUAAUUAAGAGUGCCCGCUGUGUCAUUCAAAAACCCAUUU
ensembl:lncRNA